AGAUGGGAGCUUGCUCCCUGAUGUUAGCGGCGGACGGGUGAGUAACACGUGGGUAACCUGCCUGUAAGACUGGGAUAACUCCGGGAAACCGGGGCUAAUACCGGAUGGUUGUUUGAACCGCAUGGUUCAGACAUAAAAGGUGGCUUCGGCUACCACUUACAGAUGGACCCGCGGCGCAUUAGCUAGUUGGUGAGGUAACGGCUCACCAAGGCGACGAUGCGUAGCCGACCUGAGAGGGUGAUCGGCCACACUGGGACUGAGACACGGCCCAGACUCCUACGGGAGGCAGCAGUAGGGAAUCUUCCGCAAUGGACGAAAGUCUGACGGAGCAACGCCGCGUGAGUGAUGAAGGUUUUCGGAUCGUAAAGCUCUGUUGUUAGGGAAGAACAAGUGCCGUUCAAAUAGGGCGGCACCUUGACGGACCUAACCAGAAAGCCACGGCUAACUACGUGCCAGCAGCCGCGGUAAUACGUAGGUGGCAAGCGUUGUCCGGAAUUAUUGGGCGUAAAGGGCUCGCAGGCGGUUUCUUAAGUCUGAUGUGAAAGCCCCCGGCUCAACCGGGGAGGGUCAUUGGAAACUGGGGAACUUGAGUGCAGAAGAGGAGAGUGGAAUUCCACGUGUAGCGGUGAAAUGCGUAGAGAUGUGGAGGAACACCAGUGGCGAAGGCGACUCUCUGGUCUGUAACUGACGCUGAGGAGCGAAAGCGUGGGGAGCGAACAGGAUUAGAUACCCUGGUAGUCCACGCCGUAAACGAUGAGUGCUAAGUGUUAGGGGGUUUCCGCCCCUUAGUGCUGCAGCUAACGCAUUAAGCACUCCGCCUGGGGAGUACGGUCGCAAGACUGAUACUCAAAGGAAUUGACGGGGGCCCGCACAAGCGGUGGAGCAUGUGGUUUAAUUCGAA
rnacentral:rRNA from 1 species